GUACUCGCUUUGGCAGCACGUAUACUAAAAUUGGAACGAUACAGAGAAGAUUGGUGUGGCCCCUGCACAAGGAUGACAUGCAAAUUCAUGAAGUGUUCCAUAUUUUU
ensembl:snRNA U6 U6 spliceosomal RNA